CGCCCGAUCGAAAGUCGUUGAUCCGACGGUUUCCUAAACCGUUGGUCCUCGGUUCGAUUCCGGGCGGGACUGCCA
rnacentral:tRNA from 1 species